rnacentral:tRNA from 1 species
AAGAAAGUGACAGAUUGGUUAUGUGCCUGGCUUGAAACCAGAGUAUAAGGGUUCGAUCCCCUUCUUUUUUG